rnacentral:rRNA from 1 species
UAGGGAAUAUUGGGCAAUGGACGAGAGUCUGACCCAGCCAUGCCGCGUGCAGGAAGAAGGCCUUCUGGGUUGUAAACUGCUUUUGAUCAGGAACAAAAAGGCCUUGCGAGGCAAAUUGAGUGUACUGAUAGAAUAAGCACCGGCUAACUCCGUGCCAGCAGCCGCGGUAAUACGGAGGGUGCAAGCGUUGUCCGGAUUUAUUGGGUUUAAAGGGUGCGUAGGCGGCUUUUUAAGUCAGUGGUGAAAUCCAUCAGCUCAACUGAUGAACUGCCAUUGAUACUGGGAAGCUUGAGUACAGACGAGGUAGGCGGAAUUGACAGUGUAGCGGUGAAAUGCAUAGAUAUUGUCAAGAACACCGAUUGCGAAGGCAGCUUACUAGGCUGUAACUGACGCUGAGGCACGAAAGUGCGGGGAUCAAA